rnacentral:rRNA from 1 species
GAGAUUAACCGCGAUAGGUCAAGAUUUCUGGAAUGGAUUUUGGCUUAAAUCUACAUGGCCCCUGGAUUGGACUGCGGCCGAUCAGGCUGUUGGUGAGGUAAUGGCCCACCAAACCUAUAACCGGUACGGGCUCUGAGAGGAGAAGCCCGGAGAUGGGCACUGAGACAAGGGCCCAGGCCCUAUGGGGCGCAGCAGGCGCGAAACCUCUGCAAUGGGCGAAAGCCUGACAGGGUUACUCUGAGUGAUUUCCGCUAAGGAGAUCUUUUGGCAGCUCUAAAAAUGGUGCAGAAUAAGGGGUGGGCAAGUCUGGUGUCAGCCGCCGCGGUAAUACCAGCACCCCGAGUGGUCGGGACGAUUAUUGGGCCUAAAGCAUCCGUAGCCGGUUGUGCAAGUCCUCCGUUAAAUCCAGCCGCUCAACGGAUGGGCUGCGGAGGAUACUACAGGACUAGGAGGCGGGAGAGGCAAGCGGUACUUAGUGGGUAGGGGUAAAAUCCUUUGAUCCAUUGAAGACCACCAGUGGCGAAGGCGGCUUGCCAGAACGCGCUCGACGGUGAGGGAUGAAAGCUGGGGGAGCAAACCGGAUUAGAUACCCGGGUAGUCCCAGCUGUAAACGAUGCAGACUCGGUGAUGGGCUAGCCUCGUGUCAGCCCAGUGCCGCAGGGAAGCCGUUAAGUCUGCCGCC